rnacentral:lncRNA from 1 species
GGGACUUUGGCUUAAAUGAAAGGGAUGGUGCUCUAACAGUGGAAUUCCAGGAAUCAGCUCAUCAGUUUAUUCUGGUUUGGCGGAGGGGCUGAACUCCUCAGGGCAUUUGGGAAGGAGUCCACCCAGGACAUCAGACCUUGGGUGGAAUUUCCUAACGGGGCCACUGGCAAUCAGAGCUCAGGAUUUGUUUCUCUCUCUGUCCUUCUCAGUAGAGAAAGGGCUGACUCUAAGAGAAAGGAGACAAUUCUAAGCUCGGAGCUGGAAGAGACCCAAGAAAUCAUCUAGUCCAGUAGUUUACAGAGGGUAGAGGGGCUUAAAAGUGGUACAACCCUUUAACGAACUUAAUUCACACUGAAAUCCAAAAUAUAAAACAGCUAAGAGUUCUCGCUCUCGUUGAAGUGGGGGUGGGGGGCUGGACCCGCAUGUUCUGCUCUCCCGAUUACCCCCUGAAAUGGUCCAAGCUCCCCUAUAGAACUCCAAAGCUCGAAGAAUGCAUCUCAAGUCCACAAGGAGCUAGUUCAGUGAUCCAUUCUACAGACAAGGAAACUGAGUCAGAGCCUGAUGAGGAGAUGGUGGUCCUUCGGGUCCUCCACUCUCCCGUGGCCUGUUUGUGGUUCAUGUUAAUUCCCUGGACUCGUGAUGUGUCCUCCUUUCCAGCUCGACCUGCAAAAUCCAACCACCCUUCAGGCUCAGCUCAAACGCCACCUCUCGUCGAGCGCUCCCCCAUUCUCUCAUCCAGUUCUGCCCCCCCCCCCCACCCCGCCCGCUGUUCCUGGGGCUCACUGUGUUUGCACUGCUCUUAGGAUCAACUUCUCUCGCAUUUCUGUUCAUCCAGAGCAGAUCUCCCACUGGACCACUGGGCUCUCUGUGGUCAGGGACAUCUUUUUUGUCUUAAGCAUCCAGCCCGUGAAUAGGUGUGCAGGCACAGGGAAGCUGUUGACAUGUUUUCUGGGGUGAAGGUGAGACGCUUUGCCCAUGGGGCGGGGUGUCUGCCUCCUGGACAGCCCUAGUUCUCAUCAGCUCAGCGGGGACAGCGUUGCGUUUGAUUAGACGGUUGCUGGGAGACCUGAGGCCGGGCGGAGGAGGGGCCACAGAACCUUUAGAGCCUGGAGGGAGGGGCCCUUCCAUCCCAAACUGGCCCCUCCCCCAACCCCAAGAAGACGGAGAGCAGAAAGGGGGCGGGAGAAGAGAAGCCAGGCCCUCACAUCUCCCACCACCACUGAUUUCCCUCUUCUCUGGCAUUUUAAGAGCUCAGACUCAAACCCUUCAAGGGCUUUUGAAACAAUUAGAUUAGCAAGUGCCCAGAGCUCAGUCUAAUAGCUUAAAAGCCACUUCAGGCUCCAACGGACCCAGAGUAAAGCCUGGGGGUGGGGUGGGGAGAGACCCGAGAGGCACUGUCGCCCUGCUUCCCAGGCCUUUCUUGGUGACCAAGGGCUGGGCCACAGGUCAUGCCAAAAAGGGACCUUCGAUUGUCCCCAUGGGCAGAGCCACUGUAAUCUCUCUGUCCCUUGCCCACCCCACCCCUAGAGAACCCUCACACUUAACCCUUCUCUCAUACACCUGCUCGUGCAAAUCCCAGCAUCCUUGGGGUGGGGGUGGGGGGUCAGGGCAGGUGUGUCCACAACCACUUUUGAGAGUUAGAAACUGACUGGCCCAAGGUCAGCAGGUCCAGAAGGGUCAGAGGCGGCCUUGAGGUGUCUGGCUCAAAGAUGACGCUGCUCCUCUGGGAUCUUUUGUGAUUUGGGCCUGAGGGUCUUUUGCAAUCUCUAAGUAAGUUCCACCUCUCCAUCUUCCUGCUUACUCUUCCCCCCAAUCCUGGUUUCUGUAUCAAAUUCCUCUCUCUGGCCCAAGACAUUGCCAUGCUCCCUAUCAGGUAGGGUCACAUCUUCCCAGGAGCCUUCGAGCUCUUCCCUAAUUUGGCCUGACCUCACCUUAGCUCCAGCCCACCUCUUACCCUCUACUCCUCCACCAUCCAAAUGAAGACACCCAUUUAUGUGCCCAGCACCAGGCCAAGUGGUGGGGACAUUGGGAUGAAUAAGUCAUGGACACUGCUCUCAGGACACCUGCCACAGCAUGGCUUGAUGAGUGGUGCGUAAGUCCGUUCCCAGGAUCUGAGAACAGGUGAAACAAUUAGAUUGAGUCAAACCCUGGGCCACUGAAACUGAGCAUGUGAACUUAACCACUGUGCCACCGGACAGGCCCCUAGAGAUAGCUUUAGUACAGCAUAGACGCUCUAUUAUGAGCACACAAGUCAGGGAUGCCUGGCGGACCUGGAGGUGGGGCUGGGCUGUUGACAAGAAAGGAUUGCGGAGGUUUGAUCACAGAACUGAAUCUUAAAUGAGGAGGAAUUGGUCCAGACAGGAGAUGGGAGAUGGGCCAGAGGGGACAGGAAGCGCUGAGGUGCGUGCUUCACGUGUUACAGGGAGCUGGGAGCAGCACAGCCGGGCCAGAGCGUCAUUUAGAGGCUAGGAGUAGUGUGGGCAGGGGCUGGAGCGGAUGGGGGGGCUGGCCCCCAAGGGCCGGGAGCCAAGUGGAAGAGUUUGGGCUUCCUUCUGUGGGCAGUAGGGAGCCACAGAGGGUGUCAGGCCUGACCGCAUCCUAAUCUGAUUUGUGCUGGAGAAAGAUCUCUCUGGCUGUGGAGAAGGUGGGUGGGGAACUGGCAGGACUGGGGGCUGGGAGGCCAUCAUGAGGCUGUCGCAGUGAUCCGGUGGCAGGUGAGAGUGGACUGGACCACAGCAGCCGUGAUGGGGUUUGAAGAACUGUUUAGAAAGGAAAGUGGCCAGGAGGUUCAGACGCUGGCUGAUUGGAUAAAAGGAUUAGAAAACAGAGGAAUAGAGAGGGACCCACGUUCAGCUCCAGCACCCUUGGACCAGAUACGAGGGGCCCCCACUUCAGGACCUCUUCCAGCGCUCCUCACAAGCAUCUAUCAUAGGUGCCACACAGUCACGACUGGACAGCACACUUCUCCGUGCCCUGUCUUUUCACAGAGACAUGCAUGCAGCGUCCAGGGCAGCAUUUUACUCUCAGUGGGCACACCAUAAUUAUUUGUGGACCAAAAAGAGCCCUGUCAUGGUAAGCUGGAAUGGUCUUUCAGGAGUGCUCAGAACAGAACACACAGGUGUGUUCUUCUGGGCUCUCUCCUGUAUCUUCCUAUCCUGUGACAACCGCAACGGCCAAGGAUCAAGAAAGAAAAGAACAAAGGGCUUUGAAUCGCUGACUCCUCGGUGGAAAGAAUCCCAAAGGAUCCAAGGGAAUCCAGUGGGAUGCUCGGUGGUUCCUUAUUUCUGGUCGGUAGUGGGGUUUGCCAAUGGCUGGCAAAUGUAGAAACCAUUAGUACGGAAAUUUUUUUUUUUUGGUGAGGACGACUAGCCCUGAGCUAACAUCUGCUGCCUAUCCUCCUCUUUUUGCAGAGGACCUAACAACCUGAGCUAACAUCCUGGCCCUGAGCUAACAUCCGUGCCCAUCUUCCUCUACUUUAUACAUGGGACACUUGCCACAGCAUGGCUUGACAAGUGGUGUGUAGGUCUGCGCCCGGGAUCCAAACCAGGGAACCCCAGGCGACCGAAGCGGAACAUGAAAACUUAACCGCUGUGCCACCGGGCCGGCCCAGUACAGAAAUUCCUAACUUGGGGGUCUGGGAAUCCCUGGGAUGCCCAUGGAUACGCUUUAAGAGCCCCGAAAUCUCUUGAAAAUACAUGUAAAAUUGAGCGUGUGAGUAUAUGUGUGCACAUGAACUGCUGUAAGUUGGUAAUCUGGAGCUUCCAGCAAAUUCUCAAAGGGGCCUGUGACCCAAGAAAAGUAGAUUUGCCCUACCCCAAAUCUCCCAUCUGAAAGGGGAGGAUACUGAGGCCAAGAGAGGGGACAUGAACUGCUGGGUCACAUUAGGGGACAGAUGAAACCCAGGGUCCCUCAGCUUGUGUGGCUGUGUGGGUCACUUCGGUCUGCACAACCUGAAAGGCAGGCCUGGCUCCCCAGGAGGCUGUGUGAGAGGCCACAGCACAGUACCAUCUCUCCUUGCUCCUGGAGAGACAUCUCAAAGGCACGAUGUUCCCUGGGGGUGAGGGUGGGUGCUGAGGUCUGUUCCCACGGAAAACAGAACAAGAGAAAACCAGACCAAAACUGGAAACGAAAGGAAGUCCCUGUCACCGAGAAGCUUGGGCACAUUAGCUGGCCUCAGUUUCCAGAUGUGGAAAUGGAAAUGAUAAUAAUGCUUACAUGUCUAAGUCGUGGGGAAGAUUAAAGGUGAUCAAGUGAGCGGAAACAGCUUACAAAAAGGAAGCUGUACACAAAUGCUGGUGACAAUCACUACAGUGGAGGCCUGGUGAAUAUUGUUGGCUGCUGGGAGGAAAUUGUGGACCACCUGCAUUACCCUAUUCUGGACAACUAUGAAAUUCUCCUGCAGGCCCUUGCAGCCUAAGAGGCCUGGUUUUGGAGUCAAACCUGAACUACAUCUCAGUUCCACCACGGGUGCAUGUGUGUGACCUUGGACAAAUCACUUAACCUCUCUGGGCCUCAGAUUGUUCAUCUGCAAAGUGGGGACACACACCUACCUGAUUGGGACAUUAUGAGGAUUUGAUGAGUUAGUGCAAAUGAAAAUGCCUGUAACGGUGACUGGCAUAUAAAAGCGCUCAAUAAACAUUAUCAUUAUUUUUUGUUCCUGUUCCUUGCC